rnacentral:rRNA from 1 species
GAACCGUCCAAACGUUUAUUCGGAAUCAUUGGGCUUAAAGGGUGCGUAGGCGGUGUGGUCAGUUGGGUGUGAAAUCCCUCGGCUCAACCGAGGAACUGCGCCCAAUACUGCCACACUCGAGGGAGACAGAGGUAAGCGGAACUGAUGGUGGAGCGGUGAAAUGCGUUGAUAUCAUCAGGAACACCAGUGGCGAAGGCGGCUUACUGGGUCUCUUCUGACGCUGAGGCACGAAAGCUAGGGGAGCGAACGGGGGAUUAGAUACCCCGGUAGUCCUAGCCGUAAACGAUGAGCACUUGAUCGGAGACUCCUCCAUAGGUUUCCGGUCGUAGCGAAAGUGUUAAGUGCUCCGCCUGGGGAGUAUGGUCGCAAGGCUG